rnacentral:rRNA from 1 species
AUUGAACGUUGGCGGCAUGCUUAACACAUGCAAGUCGAACGCGAAAGGGCCUUCGGGCCCGAGUAGAGUGGCGCACGGGUGAGUAACGCGUGGGUAAUCUACCUCGUUCUGGGGGAUAACCCAUCGAAAGGUGGGCUAAUACCGCAUAAUCCGGCUGAAUCACGGUUUGGUCGGCAAAGGUGGCCUCUUCAUGAAAGCUACCGGGAAGAGAUGAGUCCGCGUCCCAUUAGCUUGUUGGUAGGGUAACGGCCUACCAAGGCGACGAUGGGUAGCUGGUCUGAGAGGACGAUCAGCCACACUGGAACUGGUACACGGUCCAGACUCCUACGGGAGGCAG